rnacentral:rRNA from 1 species
UACGAAGGGAGCUAGCGUUGUUCGGAAUCACUGGGCGUAAAGCGCACGUAGGCGGAUGUGUCAGUCAGGGGUGAAAUCCCGGAGCUCAACUUCGGAACUGCCUCUGAUACAGCACGUCUUGAGUCCGAUAGAGGUGGGUGGAAUUCCUAGUGUAGAGGUGAAAUUCGUAGAUAUUGGGAAGAACACCGAUGGCGAAGGCAGCCAUCUGGACCGACACUGACGCUGAGGCGCGAAAGCGUGGGGAGCAAACAGG